rnacentral:rRNA from 1 species
CGCGAUCGCGUCGCGAGUGGCGGCGGUGAUACAGGGUGGGCGAGGGUUAAGGGGAGUUACUGGUCGUAAAGUGCGCGUAGGCGGCCGAACAAGUGAUGUGUGAAAUCCCUGGGCUCAACCUAUGAACUGCACUUUGGACUGUUGGUCUGGAGUACUGUAGAGGGCAGUUGAAGUUCCGGUGUAGCGGUGAAAGGCGUAGAGAUCGGAAGGAACACCAGUGGCGAAGGCGGCUGCCUGGACAGAUACUGACGCUGAGGCGCGAGAGCGUGGGGAGCAAACAGGAUUAGAUACCGCUGUAGUC